AGCCCACAUCAGUUUAUUUUCAUUUCACUGACUAUAAUAUCUAUACUGUAUAAUCCAUGUUAACAUACACUUAACCUACAUCAUACAGCAUUGUAUAUCUUGGAUUCACAUACAGACAGAUAUAAAACAAAUUAUAAACUAACACUUCCAUUUAACGUGUACGUGUGUAUUUUACAAAGUCACUAUGUUGGUAAGAUUUUUUUUUGUAUUUUCUUUCAUACUUUGAUAAAUGAGAAUCUUAUUUAAAAUCUUAUAGAUACAAAUCGACAGUUUUAUUAAAUUUAUUUCACAAUAUUGACGUGGAGAACUGAAAAUGUUAACUAGAGGUAUCAUACAUAUGACCUGUGUGCAUACAAGUCAUCAUCUUCUUGAGUGUUUCUAUACAGUGUAAAAUAUGGUCCGAGACAACAAUUAUUUCGUAGUGCAUUUCUUUUACAACAUAAAUGAAAAUAAAAAAAAUCCCACCUGCACUUUCUCAAAGAAACUUUUACAGUGUGUUGUACUACUUUUGGGACAAAUUAUAUCAAAAUUAUAGAAAACUUAAUUUCAACCCCCUACUUGCAAUUUGAGGCAUAAAACAUGGAGAAAUAAAUU
rnacentral:lncRNA from 1 species